AAACGAGAUUUCGUAAGUAGUGGCGAGCGAACGCGAAAGAGGCUAAACCAAGAGAAGAAAUUCUUUUGGGGUUACGGACUGCGAUAUGUAUCUGAGGACUUAGCAGAAUGGUAUGGGAAAGCCAACCAGAGAAUGUGAUAGUCAUGUAUGCGAAAAGGAAUCAGAGCUAGCAGGAUCCAAAGUACCGCGGGACACGAGGAAUCCCGUGGGAAGUCGGGGGGACCACCCUCCAAGCCUAAAUACUACCCAAUGACCGAUAGCGAAAAGUACUGUGAAGGAACGGUGAAAAGAACCCCGGGAGGGGAGUGAAAAGAACCUGAAACUCUAUGCUUACAAGCACAUAGAGCACGUCAAAGUGUGAUAUGGUACCUUUUGUAGAAUGGUCCGGCGAGUUAUUGUAUACAGCAAGGUUAAGGUCUUCAGGACUGAAGCCGAAGCGAGAGCGAGUCUGACAAGGGCGGAAAGUUGCAUGCAAUAGACCCGAAACCGGGUGACCUAGCCAUGUUCAGGUUGAAGUGGAGGUAAAGCUCCAUGGAGGACCGAACCGACCUCCGUUGAAAAGGCGGCGGAUGAAAUGUGGCUAGCGGAGAAAUUCCAAUCGAACCCGGAAAUAGCUGGUUCUCCCCGAAAUAGCUUUAGGGCUAGCGUUGUAUUAGAUUUCUGGGGGUAAAGCACUGAAUAGGCUAGGGGCCGAGAGGUUACUGAACCUUAUCAAACUAAGAAUACCAGAAAAUUGAUGUACAGCAGUCAGACUAUGUGAGAUAAGUCUCAUAGUCAAAAGGGAAACAGCCCAGACCCACAGCUAAGGUCCCAAAACAGAUUUAAGUGGAAAAGGAUGUGGGAUUGCCCAGACAACCAGGAUGUUGGCUUAGAAGCAGCCACACAUUAAAAGAGUGCGUAAUAGCUCACUGGUCGAGUGAUCCUGCGCCGAAAAUUCAACGGGGCUAAAAUUUGUACCGAAGCUUGGGCUUGAUACGUUCGUAUCAGGGGUAGGGGAGCGUCAUGUAUGAGGAGAAGUCAUAGCGGAAGCGGUGGUGGAUUGUACAUGAGAGAGAAUGCCGGAAUGAGUAGCGAGAAUUAUGUGAGAAUCAUAAUGGCCGAAAAUCUAAGGUUUCCUGAGGAAGGUUCGUCCGCUCAGGGUAAGCCGGGAGCUAAGGUGAGGCGGAAACGCGUAGCCGAUGCACAUACGGUAGAGAUUCCGUAGCCUCCGAAAAGUAAAGCACAGGGACGCUUCAGAAGUGUUACGCCGGGCGAUGGUUGCCCCGGUUGUAAAGGACACAAUUGAGUGGAAGGUAACAUGGAUGGAGACAAGAAAAGCUGUGUGUAUCUGGAAGGAGCCCGUACCGCAAACCGACACAGGUAGAUAGGAAGAAGAUUCUAAGGCCAACGGGAGAAGGGUUGUUAAGGAACUCGGCAAGUUGACCCCGUAACUUCGGGAGAAGGGGUGCUUACGAAGGUAAGCCGCAGAGAAUAGGCCCAAGCGACUGUUUAGCAAAAACACAGCUCUAUGCUAAAUCGAAAGAUGACGUAUAUGGGGUGACACCUGCCCGGUGCUGGAAGGUUAAGAGGAGAUGUGAGAGCAUUGAAUUGAAGCCCCAGUAAACGGCGGCCGUAACUAUAACGGUCCUAAGGUAGCGAAAUUCCUUGUCAGGUAAGUUCUGACCCGCACGAAUGGUGUAACGAUUUGGGCACUGUCUCAACAACCUACCCGGCGAAAUUGUAGUACCGGUGAAGAUGCCGGUUACCCGCGACUAGACGGAAAGACCCCAUGGAGCUUCACUGUAGCUUAAUAUUGAAUUUUGGUAUUUCAUGUACAGGAUAGGUGGGAGACUGGGAAAUACAGGCGUCAGCUUGUAUGGAGUCACUGUUGGGAUACCACUCUUGAGGUGCUGAAAUUCUAACCUGCGUCUUUGAAUCAAGACGGGGGACAUUGUUAGGUGGGCAGUUUGACUGGGGCGGUCGC
rnacentral:rRNA from 1 species